GACGAACGCUGGCGGCGUGCUUAACACAUGCAAGUCGAACGGAAAGGCCCUGCUUUUGUGUGGUGCUCGAGUGGCGAACGGGUGAGUAACACGUGAGUAACCUGCCCUUGACUUUGGGAUAACUUCAGGAAACUGGGGCUAAUACCGGAUAGGAGCUCCUGCUGCAUGGUGGGGGUUGGAAAGUUUCGGCGGUUGGGGAUGGACUCGCGGCUUAUCAGCUUGUUGGUGGGGUAGUGGCUUACCAAGGCUUUGACGGGUAGCCGGCCUGAGAGGGUGACCGGACACAUUGGGACUGAGAUACGGCCCAGACUCCUACGGGAGGCAGCAGUGGGGAAUAUUGCACAAUGGGCGGAAGCAUGAUGCAGCAACGCCGCGUGCGGGAUGACGGCCUUCGGGUUGUAAACCGCUUUCGCCUGUGACGAAGCGUGAGUGACGGUAAUGGGUAAAGAAGCACCGGCUAACUACGUG
rnacentral:rRNA from 1 species